rnacentral:rRNA from 1 species
CGGUUAAAAAGCUCGUAGUUGGAUUUCUGUCGAGGGCGGCCGGUCCGCACUAUGUGCGUGUAUCUGGUUCGGUCUUGGCAUCCUCUUGGGGAUCGUUUCUGUGCUUGAUUGCAUGGGGCGGAAUUCAAGACUUUUACUUUGAGGAAAUUAGAGUGUUCACGGCAAGCUAUCGCUUUGAAUACUUUAGCAUGGAAUAAUAAUAUAGGGUGUAAGUUCUAUUUUGUUGGUUUCUAGAACAUACGCAAUGAUUAAUAGGGAUAAUUGGGGGCACUCGUAUUAACGCGUCAGAGGUGGAAUUCUUAGAUUGCGUUACGACGAACUACUGCGAAAGCAUUUGCCAAGGAUGUUUUCAUUGAUCAAGAACGAAAGUAUGGGGAUCGAAGACGAUUAGAUACCGUCGUAGUCUAUACCAUAAACUAUGCCAACUAGAGAUUGGAGGUCGUUUUUUUUAUGACUCCUUCAGCACCUUAUGAGAAAUCAAAGUUUUUGGGUUCCGGGGGGAGUAUGGUCGCAAGGCUGAAACUUAAAGGAAUUGACGGAAGGGCACCACCAGGAGUGGAGCCUGCGGCUUAAUUUGACUCAACACGGGAAAACUUACCAAGUC